GGGGGGGGGGGGGGGGGGGGGGAGGGGGUGGAGGGCGGGGGGGGGGGGGGGGGGUGGGGGGGGGGCGCGGGGGGCGAGCGGGGGGGUAGCGCGGGAGGAGCCUGCCCGUGACUUUGGGAUAACUUCAGGGAACUGGGGCUAAUACCGGAUAGGAGCUCCUGCUGCAUGGUGGGGGUUGGAAAGUUUCGGCGGUUGGGGAUGGACUCGCGGCUUAUCAGCUUGUUGGUGGGGUAGUGGCUUACCAAGGCUUUGACGGGUAGCCGGCCUGAGAGGGUGACCGGCCACAUUGGGACUGAGAUACGGCCCAGACUCCUACGGGAGGCAGCAGUGGGGAAUAUUGCACAAUGGGCGGAAGCCUGAUGCAGCAACGCCGCGUGCGGGAUGACGGCCUUCGGGUUGUAAACCGCUUUCGCCUGUGACGAAGCGUGAGUGACGGUAAUGGGUAAAGAAGCACCGGCUAACUACGUG
rnacentral:rRNA from 1 species